AGUUCAUAACCCGCCCAUGAUAACAUUAUGCAGUUGCAGGUAGCCAGUGUUCACGUGACGGGAGUCAGAAAGAAGCUACCAAGACGGGCCCUGCCCUGUUUCUGUCCCUCCAAAACUGCGCUAAAAUUGUGUAGUCUAUUUAACAGCCAGAAUGUUUAAAAAAUGCCUGGGGGAGGCCCUUUUA